CACAACCUGCAAGAAUAUUCACACAACACAUCCCACCACAAUUUCCAUCUGGGACCUCAAAAAUAAAUUUUAUCAAUUAAAUUUCCCUCUGAUCAAGGCAAUUUUUAUCAUUCAGAGCUGUCUAAUAAUUAUUUAUAUCAUUUUUGAUAUUUUUCAGUACCCGAAUUUCUCUUAUAAUCAUUUCCCUCCAAACUGAUAAGAAAUUAAAUUAAUAAUAACUAUUAUUAUUACUCCCAUCUAUUUAUUUUCUAUCAUUAAUAUUUAUAUAUUGACUAUUAUAAUUAACCCUAAGUAUUUAAAAUUUAAUAACUAAUUUACCUCACAAUUCAAGCAUCUUACCCAAACUAAUUAUUUUUUCUAACCAUAUUAUUUAUCAUGUAGUUAACAUUAAUUCUACUGAUUUUCUCUAAUCAUUCAUAUAUAAAGUUUUAUUUUAUUAAUUCUAACAUAAUAUAAUUUUCUUUAAUUAUCAUAUCAUUAUUUACUAAUAACACACUCAAAUUUAAUUAUAGAUUAAUCACUUAGUUAGAAUCUCAAUUAGAUAUAAUCAAUUAAUUAUUACAAUUUCUAGCUCUAAUUUUAUGUUCUAUUAAAUCAUAUCCAAGAUAACUAUUUCAAACUCAUAACAAUGUCCCUAAUUAUCUAAUAUAAAUUUCUAUUACUUCCUUACCGCCUAAUUCUAUAUAUAUAUAUAUAUUUAUGUUAAUAGAAAAAAUAAACAAUAAUAAUAAUUCUUAAUGUAAACACUAACCAACAUUUAUUUUCAUAUAUUAUAACUUCUAAUUAAUAAAUCUCAAAAUUAGUUUAUUAAAAAUUUAUAUUAAUAAAGAAACGAUGGACAACCAGUAUUUUACCUAGACGUGUGCUAAAUCAGUCUACUCGACGACUGUCAUCUUGAGACUGAAAUCAAGGCUCAUCAUCGCCGGAGGGAGGAGAAUCGACGGUCUAAAGUUUCAUUCUCAAAAAAUUUCUCUCCAUUUUCUCACUUCUCGCCGCGUCUCACUACCCCAAACCACCUCUAAAGGAUUGGCCUCUUCCUCCUCUUUCUAUAGACACCAACCACACCCUCUAAUUCCUCCUAAAUUAUACUCUUACCAUUUUUUAUCAAAUAAAGGAAUUUAAGAAAAAGAAAAAGAAAAAAAAGCUGUAUCUUCUGCCCGUGGAAGGAGAAUAAGAUUCUUCUUACUUUCUUCCUUUUU
rnacentral:lncRNA from 1 species